rnacentral:rRNA from 1 species
GCAGCAGCCGCGGGAAUACGGAGGGGGCUAGCGUUGUUCGGAAUUACUGGGCGUAAAGCGUACGUAGGCGGCUUUGUAAGUUAGAGGUGAAAGCCUGGUGCUCAACACCAGAACUGCCUUUAAGACUGCAUCGCUUGAACGUCGGAGAGGUGAGUGGAAUUCCGAGUGUAGAGGUGAAAUUCGUAGAUAUUCGGAAGAACACCAGUGGCGAAGGCGGCUCACUGGACGACUGUUGACGCUGAGGUACGAAAGCGUGGGGAGCAAACAGGAUUAGAUACCCCGGUAGUCCCUGUCUCUUAUAC